rnacentral:rRNA from 1 species
UGAAUACGAGAUGCUACGGCGUCGAAGCAGUCUAUGUCAUACUUCCAAGAAAAGCUUGCACUGUCAUAAACAAAUAAUGCCUGUACCAUAACCGACACAGGUGGGUAGGUAGAGUAUACUAAGGGGCGCGAGAUAACUCUCUCUAAGGAACUCGGCAAAAUGACUCCGUAACUUCGGGAGAAGGAGUGCCUUAUUUAUAAGGUUGCAAUAACAAGAUCCAAGCAACUGUUUACCAAAAACACAGGUCUCCGCUAAGUCGUAAGACGAUGUAUGGGGGCUGACGCCUGCCCAGUGCCAGAAGGUUAAAGAAGUUGGUUAGCAUCCGCGAAGCUGAUAACUGAAGCCCUGGUGAACGGCGGCCGUAACUAUAACGGUCCUAAGGUAGCGAAAUUCCUUGUCGGGUAAGUUCCGACCCGCACGAAAGGCGUAAUGAUUUGGAUACUGUCUCGGAGAGGGGCUCGGUGAAAUAGACUUGUCUGUGAAGAUGCGGACUACCUGCACCAGGACAGAAAGACCCUAUGAAGCUUUACUGUAACCUGAAAUUGAAAUUGGACUUUACUUGCGCAGUAUAGGUGGGAGGCGUUGAGAAUAUUCUUGCGGGAUUAUUGGAGCCAUCAGUGAGAUACCACUCUUGUAAUGUUAGAUUUCUAACUUUGUAUCAUUAUCUGGUCAAAGAACAGUUUCAGGCGGGCAGUUUGACUGGGGCGGUCGCCUCCUAAACGGUAACGGAGGCGCACAAAGGUUUCCUCUGAACGGGUAGAAAUCGUAUCUAGAGUGUAAAGGCAUAAGGAAGCUUGACUGUGAGACCUACAAGUCGAGCAGGGACGAAAGUCGGUCUUAGUGAUCUGACGGUGCUGAGUGGAAAGGCCGUCACUCAACGGAUAAGAGUUACUCUAGGAUAACAGGCUGAUCUCCCCCAAGAGUUCACAUCGACGGGGAGGUUUGGCACCUCGAUGUCGGCUCAUCGCAUCCUGGGGCGGUAGUACGUCCCAAGGGUUGGGCUGUUCGCCCAUGAAAGCGGUACGCGAGCUGGGUUCAGAACGUCGUGAGACAGUUCGGUCCAUAUCCGGUGUAGGCGUUAGAAUAUUGAGAGGAGCCUUCUUUAGUACGAGAGGACCGAGAAGGACAUACCUCUGGUGUACCAGUUAUCGUGCCAACGGUAAACGCUGGGUAGCUAUGUGUGGAGUGGAUAACCGCUGAAAGCAUCUAAGUGGGAAGCCCACCUCAAGAUAAG